AUUGAACGCUGGCGGAAUGCUUUACACAUGCAAGUCGAGCGGCAGCACGGGGCAACCUGGUGGCGAGUGGCGAACGGGUGAGUAAUGCAUCGGAACGUGCCAUUGAGUGGGGGAUAACGUAGCGAAAGUUGCGCUAAUACCGCAUAUUCUGUGAGCAGGAAAGCAGGGGACCGCAAGGCCUUGCGUUCUUUGAGCGGCCGAUGUCAGAUUAGCUAGUUGGUGAGGUAACGGCUUACCAAGGCGACGAUCUGUAGCGGGUCUGAGAGGAUGAUCCGCCACACUGGAACUGAGACACGGUCCAGACUCCUACGGGAGGCAGCAGUGGGGAAUUUUGGACAAUGGGCGCAAGCCUGAUCCAGCCAUGCCGCGUGAGUGAAGAAGGCCUUC
rnacentral:rRNA from 1 species